rnacentral:rRNA from 1 species
GAUGAACGCUGGCGGCGUGCCUAAUACAUGCAAGUCGAGCGAACGGACGAGAAGCUUGCUUUUCUGAUGUUAGCGGCGGACGGGUGAGUAACACGUGGAUAACCUACCUAUAAGACUGGGAUAACUUCGGGAAACCGGAGCUAAUACCGGAUAAUAUUUUGAACCGCAUGGUUCAAAAGUGAAAGACGGUCUUGCUGUCACUUAUAGAUGGAUCCGCGCUGCAUUAGCUAGUUGGUAAGGUAGUGGCUUACCAAGGCAACGAUGCAUAGCCGACCUGAGAGGGUGAUCGGCCACACUGGAACUGAGACACGGUCCAGACUCCUACGGGAGGCAGCAGUAGGGAAUCUUCCGCAAUGGGCGAAAGCCUGACGGAGCAACGCCACGUGAGUGAUGAAGGUCUUCGGAUCGUAAAACUCUGUUAUUAGGGAAGAACAUAUGUGUAAGUAACUGUGCACAUCUUGACGGUACCUAAUCAGAAAGCCACGGCUAACUACGUG